AAAGUCGUUCGUUGUGUUCCGUUCGUUGGACUUCUAAUCCAAAGGUCGUGGGUUCGAAUCCCACCUGAAAUG